AUGAACGCUGGCGGCGUGCCUAAUACAUGCAAGUCGAGCGAACAGACGAGGAGCUUGCUCCUCUGACGUUAGCGGCGGACGGGUGAGUAACACGUGGAUAACCUACUUAUAAGACUGGGAUAACUUCGGGAAACCGGAGCUAAUACCGGAUAAUAUAUUGAACCGCAUGGUUCAAUAGUGAAAGACGGUUUUGCUGUCACUUAUAGAUGGAUCCGCGCCGCAUUAGCUAGUUGGUAAGGUAACGGCUUACCAAGGCAACGAUGCGUAGCCGACCUGAGAGGGUGAUCGGCCACACUGGAACUGAGACACGGUCCAGACUCCUACGGGAGGCAGCAGUAGGGAAUCUUCCGCAAUGGGCGAAAGCCUGACGGAGCAACGCCGCGUGAGUGAUGAAGGUCUUCGGAUCGUAAAACUCUGUUAUUAGGGAAGAACAAAUGUGUAAGUAACUAUGCACGUCUUGACGGUACCUAAUCAGAAAGCCACGGCUAACUACGUG
rnacentral:rRNA from 1 species